rfam:Picea glauca, whole genome shotgun sequence.
AUGUAUAUUCCUACAUCAUAGCGUUAAUGCACCAGAUCCCAUUAGAACUUCGCAGUUAAGCGCACUCGGGCUAGAGUAGUAUUAGGAUGGGUGACCGCUCGGGAAUUCCUAGUAUUUUACAUG